AAAAAAAAAAAAAAAAAAAAAAAAGAAAAGAGAAAAAAGGAAAAAGAAAAAGAAAGGAAAAAGAAAAAAGAAAGAAAGAACAGCAAGUGGAUGGGAAAGGAGCCCUCUCCAACACAAACCUCAUUGACUAAUGGGGCGGUUUUGGGUUUCGCCUUCGAAAGGUUCGGAAAUCGGCAGCGUUCUGUUACCGCCCGCCCGGCUCCAGCCCAGAGCCCGCGGCUCUUAUCGGACACCGCUCCCAGCGCUCCCUUCUGCUGCUCCUCUCUCCAGAAACCCGCACUUUAAAAACACAUAGAGAGCUUUAGGUUUAUUUGGUAGGCUUAUUUCUAAGGCCGGAGGGGCAGAGGGGGGCCGCGUUUUCUAUCUUUCCUAUACAAUUCUUUUUUUUUUUUUUUUUUUUCGGCGAAAUCGGUGAAAAACGGCCGAGCGCUGCCCCGGCCCCAUCCCCAUCCCCGCUCCGCAUCGAAUAAACCCGCGGAGAUGUGCGCUCCUGCGCAGGGAUCGGGGCCGGGGUGAGCCCGACCCGUACGGCACAGAACCUCCCCGAGCCGCCCUGCCGCCGUUCGGCCGUUCGCUUCGAGCUCCGUUCCUUUGCUUUUAUUCGAGCGCUUCGAAACCAUUUCUCGUCUGAAUUUAUGGGGCUAAACGGAGCGUGAGGUUCGGAAAUCCGUGCCGUUUUGCUUCUUUCGGGUGGUUUGAAGCGAAAACUUUCCGUUUGUUUUGUAGGAAAAGCAGCGGGUAACGCACGCCGCUGGGAGCGGCCCCGGCCGCAGCGCUGCCCGCGGGCGCAGCCCCGUUCGCUCCGCGGGCGCUGUGGGGCGCGGAGCGGCGCGGCCCCGGUGGGGGCUGAGCCCCAACGUUCGGGUUCGGCCUUGGGAAGGGACCGGCAGGGAGAAGCCGCUCUCGUUACAAACCAGGGCUCCUCACGGCCCCGCUUUGCGUUCUUCACCCCUUAGCCCUGAAGGGACGAACCCUCAGGUCCGUGCUUCCCAAACGUCUUGGAAAAUUAGAGGAAGAGCGCAUUGUAAUAAAGGGAAAGGGACCGGGGAGCGCGUCCCGGGCUCGGUGCGGCCGUGGCACCGCUCCUGCGGGAGGCUCGGAGCCCACCGCUGUAAUUCUGCGCACUUGCUCCAGACUUUAGGGUAUUAGUUGGUGUUAGAGCCGGGUUUAAGGCUCCGUUCCGGUCCCCACGCAGCUGCCUUGUCAAUAAGGAUCUGUUCCAAGCAGACAUUCCUUCUGGGAGGACAUUGCAGCUCUUUAAGACUUCAUCUGCAACAUCACAAGCACUAAAAUAAAAUGGAAGGGAAAAUUAGCAGACACGCGGUCACGGGACACGGCGGUGCCCGAGCGGUGCAGAGCGGACAGACGGGCGGCAGCGCCUUAUUUAACCGCCCCGAGAAGAGAAAUACGUGGGAAAAACAACCACCGGGGCACGGGGGGACGGCG
ensembl:lncRNA